rnacentral:tRNA from 1 species
GCGCCAGUAGCUCAGAUGGAUAGAGCGGCAGCCUUCUAAGCUGUAGGUCGGGGGUUCGAUUCCCUCCUGGCGCACCA